GUCAUCGGUGGCUCAGGGGGAUAGAGCGUCUGUCUUGUAAGCAGGAGAUUCCGGGUUCGAAUCCCGGUCGGGGCA